UUUUUGAUAUUUUUCCC
rnacentral:sRNA from 1 species